GUACAUUAGCUAAUUCUUUUGGGGGCUCCCUCCCUGAUUGUGUGAUGUUCGAUUCGUUGACUCUGGUCCUCCGUGAUUGGCGCCGAGGACUAUGCAUCUUGUAAUGUCAGUUGUAGUUGUAGUAGUAGCUGGCUGAGGGAGAACAAAAAUGAAAGAAGGAAACAUGAUACUUACAGUAGAGAGGAUAGGUCUGCAUGCAACGAUAGCCAACAUUUUCUUUUCGCAGCGUUGUUCACUUUGAGGGCGAUGGACGCUCGAGCAGCGAAGCUCGUCUGGCUCGCAUUGUUUUUCGACAAAGGGUGGAUUUUAUUGACUCACAAUGAAGCUUGUUCGUCUCACCUUGUGUCUGUCUCCGGUCGAUGUAAUGCGCUCCGAAUAAGUGGCGAGCUCUCUCUGUCUUUUGGUGUCUUGCAUAUUUUGUGUGUGUGCUGCAAAUGCAGGGAAAAGAAAAGAGGUAGCGCGUGGCAUCUAGGAAGAGUCCCUUGUCCUUUAUUCACAUCUAGUGUCAAUUAGAUGCUUGACGCUUUCGCCUUUCAGGUUUUUUAUU
rnacentral:lncRNA from 1 species